GACGAACCUUGCUAACGUUAUUCGGAAUUACUGGGCUUAAAGGGUGCGUAGGCGGUGCGGAAAGUCGGGUGUGAAAGCCCCCAGCUCAACUGGGGAAUUGCGCCUGAAACUACCGUGCUCGAGGAAGACAGAGGUACGCGGAACUUAGGGUGGAGCGGUGAAAUGCGUUGAUAUCCUAAGGAACACCGGUGGCGAAAGCGGCGUACUGGGUCUUAUCUGACGCUGAGGCACGAAAGCGAGGGUAGCGAACGGG
rnacentral:rRNA from 1 species